GACGAACGCUGGCGGCGUGCUUAACACAUGCAAGUCGAACGAUGAAGCUGGAGCUUGCUCCGGUGGAUUAGUGGCGAACGGGUGAGUAACACGUGAGCAAUCUGCCCUUGACUCUGGGAUAACUGCGGGAAACUGUAGCUAAUACCGGAUACGAGGCUCGAAGGCAUCUUCGGGUCUGGAAAGAAUUUCGGUCAAGGAUGAGCUCGCGGUCUAUCAGCUUGUUGGUGAGGUAAUGGCUCACCAAGGCGACGACGGGUAGCCGGCCUGAGAGGGUGACCGGCCACACUGGGGCUGAGACACGGCCCAGACUCCUACGGGAGGCAGCAGUGGGGAAUUUUGCACAAUGGGCGAAAGCCUGAUGCAGCAACGCCGCGUGAGGGAUGAAGACCUUCGGGUUGUAAACAUCUUUUAGCAGGGAAGAAGCGAAAGUGACGGUACCUGCAGAAAAAGCACCGGCUAACUACGUGCCAGCCGCCGCCGUAA
rnacentral:rRNA from 1 species